CAAACAUCCAGAUUAAUGUUUGACCAACUAUCUGGAUGCUGUGGACUGGCCAAGUUGGUACAUAAAAUUAACUGCUCUGGCCUCACAAGAUUAAAACUUGGUAAGAAAGUAGACACGGAAGUGUGUCUCUGUCCAGUUCCACCUAAACUGUGCUGGCAGAAACUUUGGCUCCUGCUGCUUAGCUCCUUCAGCGACCUGCGAGUCUGUCUCACGAAAAGAUACCGACCGCCAUCUUGAAUUUCUAAGCACUAAACACGAAGAGAUGUGAGUUUCUCAAAAGAUGCUUCAGACCCUCUGAGCCCCUUUGUCUGCGUGGAACGGGUCUCUAGUCGCGGGUGGACAAAGCGUAGGAUGAGUGACAAACAGACGCACACAGGAGAGGUCGAGGAAUCUGAAUGUCAUUUUUCAAAUCGAGCAUCAGACUUUUUAUGCAGAAGACAAUAAGGAAGUUGGAUGACAUACCUGCAAGGUACAAAUGAGCUUUCCCAGAUAUCUCUGAAGAUACCAUUUUGAAUAGGACUCACAUCACUCACUGCCUUGUUCUAGGAUGGAUUUACCAGCUCUUCUUCUCUCCUGAAGACUGUUGUCCUGCCUAUGCCCAGACCCAUCUACAUCAGAUCUGAGGAGUGAGUCUUCUAAACUAUGAAGGACAUAUUAUAAUAUUCAAUAAACAAUCUGUGGCCUCCAUAUGCACAGAAUGUGAUGCUGGGCAAACAGAGAGCUCUGAGCAAAAGUUCUAAGAAAGAAAGUCUUCUAAUGGAAGCAUCUGCAAGCCUGAUGAACUAAUUUGAACCUCAGUGACCAUGAAGAGUUUGGAAUGUUACAGGUCCAGGGUCUAUUUACAAUUCAUCUUGGGUUAUCUUUAGCUCUCUAAGUAGCCAUUCUUUCCUUAUAUUUGUGUGAACCUAACAUUCUGUGCCUAACAGAUUAAGAAGUCUUUUGGAAUGUAGUAAAUCUGUGGCUUCCACUAAUUGAAAGACUGAGUGUCAUCAGGUAGUACCUGAGCCCUACAGUCAAUACUUCUCUGCAUGUUUUCACUAAUGUACCUGAAAACUGCUUUGAUCUUUUUAGUUUCUUUGUUCUGUUACUAUAAACUAAUUCCACAUUGGAACAUGGAAUUUGACACUACACCCGUGUUCCCAGGCUAUGGUCGCUCUUAUUUGGCUCUGGAAUAAAUUGAAAUGAGAUGUGUGCUUCUGCCUCAACAUUAAAUUUUCUGGUGAUAACCAUUACCCAAAGUGGUUCACAGAAGGUUUUAUCUUGGCUGGGCAAAUCACAGUGGUGGGGGAGACAUGUCAAGGGAGACUGGAGAAGGAAGCUGAGAGAUCCCAUCUUCAACCACAUGUAGAAAGCAGAGUGUAAGGCCUGGAAGUGGGGCCAGGCUAUAAACCCCCAAAGCCCAUCCACAGUUCUGCAAGGAAAGCUUCCAUCCAUGACCUUGCCAGACAAUGCUGGUCGCUGGGGACUGAUGGUGAAGUCCAUGAGUCAGUGAGGGAACAUUUCUUGUUCAAACCAUCACACCAUAUAAAUUUGAGAGACAG
rnacentral:lncRNA from 1 species